GACUGGACAUGCCUCCUGCAGAGGAGCUGCUAAGACACUCCAGACUGCCAAGGCAAAGUAUUCUGACUACACCGCGGGGAACCAAUUGACUGCAGGGACUGAAGGGGAUGCCAAGUCACUGCCAACAGAGGAGAUGCCUAAGGGUGUGUUAACGAUACUUUGAAGAAAAAGCACAAUUUCUUCUGCUGCAGAGCAUGGAAACUUUCCCUAAUGAAGCAAAUACAAAUACUGAGGUACAAAGGAGAAGGUCCAUAAGAAUUGCUACUGGGGAGCCACUGAGAGGAAAGUUCCCACAUUCAGGUUUUCAGGACUUUGCUGAACCCCAUUCUGGAGAUGUUUGGAUUUAAGUUUUCAGGGAUUUUGCAGCACAGAAGGCAAGGCUUUGUGUUUUGCUUGGUUUUGCUUCUGGU